rnacentral:rRNA from 1 species
GAUGAACGCUGGCGGCGUGCUUAACACAUGCAAGUCGAACGGAAAGGCUCCUGCUUGCAGGGGUACUCGAGUGGCGAACGGGUGAGUAACACGUGGGUGAUCUGCCCUGCACUUCGGGAUAAGCCUGGGAAACUGGGUCUAAUACCGGAUAGGACGAUGGUUUGGAUGCCAUUGUGGAAAGUUUUUCGGUGUGGGAUGAGCUCGCGGCCUAUCAGCUUGUUGGUGGGGUAAUGGCCUACCAAGGCGUCGACGGAUAGCCGGCCUGAGAGGGUGUACGGCCACAUUGGGACUGAGAUACGGCCCAGACUCCUACGGGAGGCAGCAGUGGGGAAUAUUGCAGAAUGGGCGCAAGCCUGAUGCAGCGACGCCGCGUGGGGGAUGACGGCCUUCGGGUUGUAAACUCCUUUCGCUAGGGACGAAGCGCAAGUGACGGUACCUGGAGAAGAAGCACCGGCUAACUACGUG